UAAACAGCUAGCUUACCCACUUAAACAACUAAAACAACAUUAAAACACUUAACAAAAUUACAACACACAAAACUAAAACAUUCUACCGCCCAAGUAUGUGAGACAAAAAAGGCAAACCUAAGCUACAAAAAUAGUACCGCAAGGGAACGCUGAAAGAGAAAUGAAACAAAUCAUUAAAGCACAACAAAGCAAAGAUUAGCC
rnacentral:rRNA from 1 species